rnacentral:rRNA from 1 species
UACGUAGGGUGCAAGCGUUGUCCGGAAUUAUUGGGCGUAAAGAGCUCGUAGGCGGUCUGUCGCGUCGGCUGUGAAAACCCGGAGCUCAACUCCGGGCCUGCAGUCGAUACGGGCAGACUAGAGUGUGGUAGGGGAGACUGGAAUUCCUGGUGUAGCGGUGAAAUGCGCAGAUAUCAAGAGGAACACCGAUGGCGAAGGCAGGUCUCUGGGCCACUACUGACGCUGAGAAGCGAAAGCAUGGGGAGCGAACAGG